rnacentral:tRNA from 1 species
UAUAUUUAAGUGUUAAAGAAGCACGGGAAAUUUUGAUUUUCCAAGGUAUGGUUUAAAUCCAUAUAAUAUAA